UCAGUGCCGCACAAUGAGUCAGAAGAUGAAGUGAGUGGGAAUCCAAGCUGUCCCUCUGCAGUUUUUAGAUGUUCAUUUGCUAGGCUCCCCUCACGGUCCCUCCCACACUCAUAACUAGAGCUCCUGUAGCCAAGGAGCUUCUUCCCAUUUGUACGUACUUCCUGGGCCUCUUCUGUUUAUUGGGGGUGGCCUCUUGUCCUUUUUAACCAAUUUUUCUUUGGACUUCUGGCUUCUUAGCUUGCUUUCCUGCCUUCCCUCUUAGGUGGCUGUUGACAUGGAAUUUGCUAAGAAUAUGUAUGAACUGCAUAAAAAAGUUUCUCCAAAUGAGCUCAUCCUGGGCUGGUACGCUACAGGCCAUGACAUCACAGAGCACUCUGUGCUGAUCCAUGAGUACUACAGCCGAGAGGCCCCCAACCCCAUCCACCUCACUGUGGACACAAGUCUCCAGAACGGC
rnacentral:sRNA from 1 species